AGAGUUUGAUCAUGGCUCAGAUUGAACGCUGGCGGCAUGCUUUACACAUGCAAGUCGAACGGUAACGCGGGGGCAACCCUGGCGACGAGUGGCGAACGGGUGAGUAAUACAUCGGAACGUGCCCAGUAGUGGGGGAUAGCUCGGCGAAAGCCGGAUUAAUACCGCAUACGACCUACGGGUGAAAGCGGGGAUCGCAAGACCUCGCGCUAUUGGAGCGGCCGAUGGCAGAUUAGCUUGUUGGUGGGGUAAGAGCCUACCAAGGCGACGAUCUGUAGCUGGUCUGAGAGGACGACCAGCCACACUGGGACUGAGACACGGCCCAGACUCCUACGGGAGGCAGCAGUGGGGAAUUUUGGACAAUGGGCGAAAGCCUGAUCCAGCAAUGCCGCGUGUGUGAUGAAGGCCUUCGGGUUGUAAAGCACUUUUAGUGGGAACGAAACGGUCCGGGCUAAUACCCUGGACUAAUGACGGUACCCGCAGAAUAAGCACCGGCUAACUACGUGCCAGCAGCCGCGGUAAUACGUAGGGUGCGAGCGUUAAUCGGAAUUACUGGGCGUAAAGCGUGCGCAGGCGGUUUUGUAAGACCGAUGUGAAAUCCCCGGGCUCAACCUGGGAACUGCAUCUGUGACUGCAUUGCUGGAGUGCGGCAGAGGGGGAUGGAAUUCCGCGUGUAGCAGUGAAAUGCGUAGAUAUGCGGAGG
rnacentral:rRNA from 1 species